AGGGUUUCACACUUUGGCCAGGCUGGUCUCUAACUCCUGACCUCAAGUGAUCCACCCGCCUCAGCCUCCCAAAGUGUUGGGAUUACAGGCGUGAGCCACUGCACCCAGCCUAUUUAUUUAUUUUGAGACAGGGUCCUAUUCUGUUGCCAGGCUGGAGUGCAGUGGUGCAGUCAACCUCCUAGGUUGAAGUGAUCCUCCUACCUUAGCCUCCGGAGUAGUUGGGACUACAGGCGCAUGCCAUCAUGCUCAGCUAAUUUUUGUAUUUUUUGUAGAGACAGGGUUUCACUAUGUUGCCCAAGCUGGUCUCAAACUCUGGUGCUCAAGUGAUCUGCCCUCCUAGGCCUCCCAACGUGCUAGGAUUACAGGCAUAAGCCACCAUGCUCGGCCCAUUUAAACCAUUUUUAAGGGUACAAUUUAGUGGCAUUACUUAGGUCCACAAUGUUAUACAACUACCAUCGCUAUCUACUUCGAAAACUUUUUCAUCACCCCAAACUGAAACUCAGUAACUAGUAAGUAAAAACUCCCCAGGUCCCUUCUCCCCAGCCCCUGACAAACUUGCGUCUAGUUUACAUUUCUACGAAUUUUCCUAUUUGAGAUAUUUCAUGUCAGUGUAGUUAUACAAUAUUUGUCCUUUUGCAUCUAGCUUAUUUCACUUAGCAUAUGUCUUCAAGGUUUAUCUACCAUGGGGCAUCUAUCAGAACUUCACUCCUCUUUAUGUCUGAAUAAUAUUCCAUUGUAUGUAUAUACCACAUUUCGUUCAUACAUCUGGUUGGUACAUGGGUUGUUUCCACCUUUUGACCAUUGUAAAUAAUGCUACAAUGAACACUGGUAUACAAGUACUUGUUUGAGUCCCCGCUUUCUAUUCUUUGGGAUAUAUAUAUAAUACUUAGGAGUGGCAUUACUGGGCCAUAUGGUAAUGCUAUUUUUAGCUUUUUGAGGAAUUGCCAAAUUGUUUUCAAUAAUGAUUUUUGGCUUAAAGUCUAUUUUGUGUACUAUUAACAUAAAAAUGCCAAUUCUUUUGGAGUUAUAUUUCCGUUUUAAAAUUUCAACCUGUUUGAAUAUCUAUAAGUUUUCUCCAGUCCGAGAAGCUUUGUCUUUUAACUGAAGUAUUUAAUCCAUUUACAUUUUAUUCAUUUUAAUUAACUGAUAUUAGUUACUAAUAUUUUAAAUCUAUCACUUUACAUUUUGCUUUCUCUUUGCUUCACUUUUAUAUACUUCUUUUUCUCUUCUUUUUUGUAUUAUUUUUAUUCCUUUUUUUAACUCUGUUUAUAGGCUAUAUUCUGUCUUUAUUAUUUUUUAGAGUUUAGCCUAACAUGUUUAUAUGUAUAUAUCACCUAUUAAGUAAAAAGUUAGUCACUAAUGUUUUUCUUGUGCUAAAUACCACAAAAACUAAACACCAA
rnacentral:lncRNA from 1 species